UAGGGAAUCUUCCGCAAUGGGCGAAAGCCUGACGGAGCAACGCCGCGUGAGUGAUGAAGGUCUUCGGAUCGUAAAACUCUGUUAUUAGGGAAGAACAAAUGUGUAAGUAACUAUGCACGUCUUGACGGUACCUAAUCAGAAAGCCACGGCUAACUACGUGCCAGCAGCCGCGGUAAUACGUAGGUGGCAAGCGUUAUCCGGAAUUAUUGGGCGUAAAGCGCGCGUAGGCGGUUUUUUAAGUCUGAUGUGAAAGCCCACGGCUCAACCGUGGAGGGUCAUUGGAAACUGGAAAACUUGAGUGCAGAAGAGGAAAGUGGAAUUCCAUGUGUAGCGGUGAAAUGCGUAGAGAUAUGGAGGAACACCAGUGGCGAAGGCGACUUUCUGGUCUGUAUCUGACGCUGAUGUGCGAAAGCGGGGGGAUCAAACAGG
rnacentral:rRNA from 1 species